UGUCUAGCUCCUCCUCUCUACCCUAGGGUUAGUUAGCUCCUCCUCUCUACCCUAGGGUUAGGUAGCUGUCUAGCUCCUCCUCUCAACCCUAGGGUUAGGUAGCUGUCUAGCUCCUCCUCUCAACCCUAGGGUUAGGUAGCUGUCUAGCUCCUCCUCUCUACCCUAGGGUUAGGUAGCUGUCUAGCUCCUCCUCUCAACCCUAGGGUUAGGUAGCUGUCUAGCUCCUCCUCUCUACCCUAGGGUUAGGUAGCUGUCUAGCUCCUCCUCUCAACCCUAGGGUUAGUUAGCUCCUCCUCUCUACCCUAGGGUUAGUUAGCUCCUCCUCUCAACCCUAGGGUUAGAAUUAGGUACAGUAGCUGUCUAGCUUGACUGUUGUUGGCUCCAUAGCUGGCUGUUCAGAUGUGUUCAGUUUCAGGAGAGACUCCCCUUACAGUUAGUGAAGUGCAGUCAAUGAAAACCUGUGUGAGUGAAUAGAAAUGUUAAGAGCUCUUUGUCUGAGUGAAUGUCAUUGCUGGAGCGAGUUAUUGGGAUGAAUAUUCAUGUCCAUAUUCUGUAGUUCAGAAUAUGGGCAUGAAUGAAACAAGGUGGCAGCCUACAUGCAUGUCUUGGGUAAUGUCGUAGGUGGAGCACCUCUUGUAGGGGUCAGUGUGUCAUCGGCGGAGCCCCUACCUGUUGGACUGAAUGAUAUGACUGGUCCCCUGUUGGAAAGAGCUUGAUGGGUAAAUCCUCACUUGACUGUAGUGGCUGUGUCUGAAGGAAACCUGUCUGUAUGACUGUGUGUGAUUGGUUGUCUGUUUUUACCUCACCAAUGGGAGGGCUCCAUGCUCACUGAAGGCCCUUCGAUUAGGACCUGUAAACACAUUCUAUUUCUCUAUAGCUUCUUUAUCAUCUUAAGUCUUAUAACGGCAUAUUAUAUACAGACUGGUCACUGUAUUACAAAUCUGUAGCAAAAAUAAGUGCCCAGACCAACAGCAUAGAAAUAAACACACAGACAUGUACACCCUCUCACUCAAUAACACAGAUCACUAUACUGGCACAUACAGAAAUGCACACUUACAAAUGCUCAUGUACGUAAUGUACACACAUAUUCACAUUCUCUCUCUCCUACACACACACUCUCUCUCUCUGUGUUUGUGUUAGAAUUAAUGGGACACCUUAAAUAUAUCUGUUUGGAUCCAAGAUGUAUCUUAUACUAAAAGGGACUGUGAUUUCAGAGAUGGAGGGAAUACGUGACUUAAACAAAAUCUCAAUGAAGAUUGUCUCCAUUUAUACGAAAGACUUUAGAAGCAACUGCUAUUCAACCGUUCUAAAGUCCUCUGUGCAAGGGAGAGAGACUGAAAAGGAGAGGGGAGGGAAAGAGAAACAAACUGCCAAAUCUUCCUCUUUCCCACCCAAUCCCCCCACUCCUUCCAAAACCUCUUUCUACAGAAGCAUGAGAACAUGAACUGAGGCCCAAAUGAGUGGGAGGAGAGAUAUGUUCUGUUUUAAUACUACAAUUGUUCUUACAACAAUUUUUUUUACUUAAAAUGGGUCUGGAAUACUGCUAUUGAUAUGAAGAGAAUUAUUGUUACUAUUAUCAUUACUAUCAUCGUCCUUACUGUUAUAAGGUGCAGUUCCCCGUUCUGCCUUUCAUGGCUGAGGUGGCGCUCUUUUGCAUUUUAGGCAAUGUAUUUUCAUAAUUUUGCCAGUAGUGUUAGUCGCUAUAAUCCUAUAAAAUUGUUAUGAGAUUCAUGACUGUAGGUCAAACUAUGACACCAUGGUGUCUAACAAUUUAAAAUGUAUAUAAAUAUAAUAAAACUAUAUUGUUACUUCCAAAAAUAUAGAAAAAAUAUCUAUUUAGUUUGAUGUACAGAAUGCUUUACAUAUCAAGGCUUUUGUCUAGUCAGAAAACCACCACAUUUACUUUGCCCUCUUGUUUCGGUAUAAUAUUUUGAAAUGAUGAAGGUUUGACUGAUGUAUGCUUCAGAUUGACAUUGAGGCCUAGAUUCAAUCCGGAGGGUGGAAGACCCACGUUAUAGCACGAUUGGCAUUCAAAGACAAUGUUCCCGCAUUCACAGUAAACACUGCAUUUGUUGGCUCUAUUGGAAAUGACCUCUCAAUGUCAAUUACGCUAUAAUGAGGGUACUCCGCGUUCUGGGUUGAAUCUAGCCCUAAAUAUAUUUUUAUGCAAGAAUUCCUCUGCCAUCCAAGCUUCCUCUCAUGUGAUGGCAGCGUCUGUGUAUAAAGCUGUGAAUAUACGUAUCACUUUAAACCUCACUGUGUGGAAGCCAAAGUUAGAUUCACUACAUUGUCAUUAUUCACAUUAUUUUAUGCUGAUCAAGAUGUAGCUAUUGUGCCCUGGAAAUGGCCACGAGACAAAUGGUAUUGUGAAAAAGAUGCAUAGAAUUAUUCACAUCAUAUGUUUCUAUUUUGUACAUUUCAAGUCAUUAUGGAUCAUUAAAGUAGUAUUUUAUUUAUUGAUA